CCACGUCAGAAAAUAAAUGAGAAAAUGAGAUUGGCCUGACAGAAUUUGCUCCUGAUGAUUCCAUAUGGGUUGUUAUUCAACACUUUGUUUCCACUUACAUGCUUGUAAUCAUGUAUUAAUUUAGUUGUUCCAGUAUUUUUCCAGAAAGUGGAACUAAGUUGAUAUGUCUGCAUUUUGCAUUUCCUUGAUCUCUCUCUCUCUCUCUCUCUCUCUCUUUUUUUUUUUUUUUUUCUUUCUUACUUGAAGAUAGAAGCCAUGUCUGCCCUCUACUUGGUUUCAGACAUCUCACAUUUUUCCAUGAUUUGUCAAAGCCAUCUACUUCAGAGGAUGCACCAGCCAUUUCAGAACUCCCAGCAUUCCUCAACCAGAUGUUUCACAGGAAAAUAUUUUCUCAGCUGGAUGGGAAAUCAGGGAAACUGCAGAAAGCAGUGGUGGGAAUAAUCAGCAUCAACGAGACACUUAUAUUCUGAUUUCAUGUGGGAGAAUAGCACAAAAAUCUGAAAUAUGAAUCUCCAUCUUGCUCCUGAUUUACCUUAAUAAAUUCCAGUUCCAUCACAGCAAAUGUAAAUUGACAAACAUGGACUAGACAGAGUGUAAAAAUGUGGGACAUAUUUAGAAGUUAUUACAGCCCAUCCUGCUUCCAAUCAUACAUUUGUUCUACUUCAGUGUGAUAAAUGAGUGUUCAUUGCAUGCUUGCAAUAUUUAUGAAUGUCAAAAAAAUGUUGUUCCUGCUGCAAAGAAUUUGUGGAACUGAAUUACAUCAGGCCUGAAAUCAUGACAGAGAUGUGAUUUGAAUUGAUUUUGAAAAGGAAUUAAAAAAAAAAAAAAGGAUAAAUAAUUUUGUCAUUUGGCGUGGUUCCUGAGCUGUAUCAAUGUUAAUGCCAAUCUUAUUUAUUUACAUAUUCAUAUACUGGCUUUGCAUAUAGUGCAUUUCUGUCUCUGAAUUCUCUGCCCCAAAAGGUCAUCCAAAUUAGUACCACUUACCUUUGCAUUUACAGAAAAUUGUGAACUGAAGACUGGAAUCCUUGAAAAAAUAGAGAAACAUUGAGUAAAAACUUCAACAGGAAAACAGCACAGAUUUUCCGUACAACAUUCCCCCUACUGUCGUUUUAGAGGACAGGUUGCCUGAAGCUGGCCCCAGUGCAGAAGUUUCCAUGUAGUUCCAAGGGAGGCAAAGAAAGGUGGCUUUUGUAGCUAGGAACACCUCUUAAAGCUGACUUUCUUGUCACCGCGUUACAUGUCCCCUGUGUCAGUGUGGCUUCUAAUAAAAUUCUAAAUAAAACAUAUUGAUGAACUUGGAGAAUUGUCCCAGCUUUUCCUGUUCAAAAUAUGCUGCUGUAAAUCUGACUUCAUCUCAGUAAGAGCUCAGGGAUUAGCCUUGUCAUGUGCUCAAGUUACAUGUUUGGGGUAGAAAUCAAUAUCUUCAUCUCCUCUCCCUCCCUCGUAUCAAAAAAAAGCAAAGCAAAAUUAAUCAAAGAUUGUAUUUCAACUAUGUUUUCAGAGUUUUACUUCUGAUGUUUCAACUCAGCAUUGGAAACACAAGACCCAGCUAAGAAAUGUAGGCUAUCUAUCACAGAAAGGAGUGGUGUUUCAUGGGAAAUCACUCUAUCCUUUACUCUUGCAACAGCUUGCAACAGAAAAGGAUGGCCUGGUGUAUAUGAUCCAUUGCUUUUGUCAGGGCUGCAGCAGUUAUGAGUGUAGCUGCACUUAUGGUUAUGACCUUUUGGUAGCUGGCUGAUAUUAAAAUCUUUUGUGAGGAAAUUGCCUGAUUUUACAAGUGCCUUCAGUUACUGACUGAAGAGGUACACUGCCAUUACAGAGCAGUUUUCUUCUAAUGAAGAUCUGAGAAAACAUGUGUCCAUGACUUCUGACUAUUUUCAGAUGACUCUAGAAACUGGAAAAAAAAAAAAAAAAAAGGUUUACCAAAACAUUUUUUUUUCUGUUGUUCAGUACAUUCUCUUCAAGAUCUUCUAAUAACACCCCGAAAAAAAAAGCAUCAAAAAUAGAACCCUUUCCAAAGUUGAGUUCCCGCAGGCCCAUCUUGUUUCACCUGAGAUCUCAUGCUUUCCAUGGGCAAGGCCAGA
rnacentral:lncRNA from 1 species